rnacentral:rRNA from 1 species
GACGAACGCUGGCGGCGUGCUUAACACAUGCAAGUCGAACGGAAAGGCCCUGCUUUUGUGGGGUGCUCGAGUGGCGAACGGGUGAGUAACACGUGAGUAACCUGCCCUUGACUUUGGGAUAACUUCAGGAAACUGGGGCUAAUACCGGAUAGGAGCUCCUGCUGCAUGGUGGGGGUUGGAAAGUUUCGGCGGUUGGGGAUGGACUCGCGGCUUAUCAGCUUGUUGGUGGGGUAGUGGCUUACCAAGGCUUUGACGGGUAGCCGGCCUGAGAGGGUGAGCGGCCACAUUAGGACUGAGAUACGGCCCAGACUCCUACGGGAGGCAACAGUGGAGAAUAGUGCACAAUGGGAGGAAGCCUGAUGCAGCAACGCCGCGUGCGGGAUGACGGCCUUCGGGUUGUAAACCGCUUUCGCCUGUGACGAAGCGUGAGUGACGGUAAUGGGUAAAGAAGCACCGGCUAACUACGUG